AUGGAUCCUGAAGAUCUCAGUGACUCAGAGGAAGAAGAUGAUGAGAUGAUGCUACUCAUUUUGCCAGCUUUAUAUCUAGCUUCCGCCGGGUGCGAGGCAAAACGUGCACGAUAUCGCAGUGGCGCAGAAUGGAUAUGCGAAGUUCUUGAAGAUGACCGAGGUCACGGCUAUCCAAAACUUCGGAUUGAACCUCAUGUUCUCCGUGAAUUUUCACAGUAUGUCAGGUCAAAACAUCUCCUGCGGAAUACAAGAGGUGUUUCUGUGGAAGAGCAGAUCGGCAUGUUUGUGUACAUGCUCUCACGAAAUGCUAACUUUGACCAACUAAGUGAUAGAUUUGAGCGCAGCAGAGAGACUAUCCAUAGACAUAUCAAGGCAUGCUUUGAUGCGAUCGUCUCACUGAAAGGUGACUUUGUGAAGCAUCCUGGAACUAAAACUCAUUGGAAAAUAUUAUCUGAUCCGCAUUACGGGCCAUACUUUGAGAACUGUAUAGGAGCAAUCGAUGGAAUUCAUGUCCCAUUGACAAUAUCAGAUAGGGAAGCGGCUCCAUAUCGAAAUAGAGAAGGAUCCAUUACUCAAAAUGUGAUGCUUGCUUGUGAUUUUGAUCUCAAUUUUGUCCAUGUGUCCUCUGGCUGGGAAGGCUCUGCACCUGAUGCAGAGGUCUUGCAUUCUGCUAUAGAAUCUGGAUUUCAAGUUCCAAGAGGCAAGUAUUAUUUGGUAGAUGGGGGUUAUCCGAACACUCCUUCCUUUCUUGCUCCUUAUAGCGGGGUGCCUUACCAUAUUGAAGAGCAGGAGCAGAGAAGUUGCCGUGCAAGAAACUACAAGGAGUUGUUCAACCUUCGACAUGCACAACUGUAUGGCCAUAUAAAAAAUGCUAUAGGUCUAUUAAAGAUGAGAUUUCCAGUUUUGAAGGUUGCGACAUCUUACCGCUUAGAGACUCAACUGAAAAUUCCAGCAGCAGCAGUGGUGUUGCAUAACAUAAUUCAGAGGCAAGGAGACGCUGAAGGAUCUUCAGUUAACCAAACAAUCCCAAUCGUUACCCGUGAAGGUGGGGAUGCCGCACAUGGCCAUGAUGUUUCAGCACUGAACAAUCAGUGUGACACGGGCGAUGCUUUAAGAGACGAUAUUGCAAAGAGGAUGUGGGAAGAUUACAUAAUAAAUAUGUGA
rnacentral:rRNA from 1 species